UUGCACAGGUGCUGCAUGGCUGUCGUCAGCUCGUGUCGUGAGAUGUUCGAUUAAGUCCGCUAACGAGCGCAACCCUCGCUGUGUGUUAUAUGUGUCACACGGGACUGCCGGUCUUAAGCCGGAGGAAGGUGGGGAUGAUGUCAAGUCAGCAUGGCCUUUAUAUCCUGGGCUACACACACGCUACAAUGGCCAACACAAUAGGUUGCUAAGCCGCGAGGUGGCGCCAAUCCAUAAAGUUGGUCUCAGUUCAGAUUGUAGGCUGCAACCCGCCUGCAUGAAGAUGGAGUUGCUAGUAACCGCAGGUCAGCUAUACUGCGGUGAAUACGUUCCCGGGCUU
rnacentral:rRNA from 1 species